GAAAUGUGAAGAAUCAAGAAAAAGCUGCUAACUUUUUUCUUUAGCGGUUUAACUCCGUUUAUAUUUCU
rnacentral:tRNA from 1 species